GCACGGGGGCGUAGCGGUUAGCACGUUCGACUCACACCUCCAGGGUCGGGGGUUCGAUUCCCACCGUGGCCCUGUGUG